rnacentral:sRNA from 1 species
GCCGGGUGUGGGCGUGCACACCUGUGAUCCCAGUUACUCAGGAGGCUGAGGCAGGAGGACUGCACGUUGGAGGACAGCCCAGGCAACUAAGACACUGUCUCAA